UUUGUCUAUAUGACUGUAAAUUUUAGUUUCUGUGUAAUUCUUCACUGACCCCUAGCUGGCUACAGCCACCACCCUGUGAUGGCUAUCAUGCAUUUUUGUGCAGGCCAUGAUACACUGAGGCUGGAUUCUAAGUGUUGUUUGGUCACCUUCAGUGGUACCAAAAACCUGCUUCACCCAU